UACGUAGGUGGCAGGCGUUGUCCGGAUUUAUUGGGUUUAAAGGGUGCGUAGGCGGUUCUAUAAGUCAGUGGUGAAAUCCGGCAGCUUAACUGUCGAUGUGCCAUUGAUACUGCAGAACUUGAGUACAGACGAGGUAGGCGGAAUUGACGGUGUAGCGGUGAAAUGCUUAGAUAUCGUCAAGAACACCGAUAGCGAAGGCAGCUUACUAGACUGUAACUGACGCUGAUGCACGAAAGUGUGGGGAUCAAACAGG
rnacentral:rRNA from 1 species